rnacentral:lncRNA from 1 species
UUUAAUAUACAAAUCUAUAAUAUUUUGAGCAUUUACUUUCAAACUUCUUCAGAAGAUCCAUCAUUAAUUCUUUGAUAAAUACAUCAUUAACAAGUAAAAGAAUUGGUUGUAGAAAAACUAGUGAAGAUACUUAAGGUGAAAGAUAAGCUUGUACUUGAGACCUAUUUAUAAAUUAGCUACAUAAUUCUUGAUUUUCUUGAGCCAAUCUUUUAAUCUUCAAUUUUACUGCACUCAAA